GAAAAAUCGAUUUAACAUUAGGACUAAAAAAAUUUUAACCGGAUUUUUUUUUCAAAAAUAGCGGGUAUACUAUUAAUCAGAAGGCCUAUUUUGCAAAGCUUGCUGUUUAAUUCUUCUAUUAUAUUCUGCUCUAUUAUUUGAGUAAAGCUGAUACGACUCAGCUUGAGCUGGGGAUUUAAUAUUUGGGUUAUCUAAAAGAUCUUGGAUACCUAGCAAAAUCUGUUUCAUGGUAAUUGAGGGUUUCCAAUCUUCAUCUUCAUUUAGAAUAGAAAGGCAAACCGUACCUGAAGGAUAUAUGUUAGGGUGAAACAGUGGUGGUUGAAAAAUACACUUAGGAGGUUUUGCAGGGUAAUCUUCAGGGAAUGUUACAUUUAGCGUAUAUUCACCAUUUUCCCAGAGAGUCUAGCAUUAUAGAAGUAAGAAUGAUUUUAAUUAACAAAUUAAUUAACUUACCCCACUUUUACCCGGAAUCUUGCAUAUCCAUUUCAUCAUAUCUUGGCCUUCUCCAUCCUCAGAUGGAGCAUAUUUUGCAGAGAAUCCAACUGGAUGGUCCUUUCGCCAUUCUGCUCUUUCUUGAGCAAUUCUCUUCCUCGAAAAACUCAUUCUAGUAAUUAUCUUCGAAAUAAAUACAAUUCAUUAAUUUAAUUCUUACAUAUGUUUGUUUUCCCGGAAUUUAUUGGGCGAUACGUAUAGUUAUUUUUAUAUUGGACAAAAAAAAAAGAAAAAUCGAACAGAAAUUAAUGAUUCAAAAACUAGACUAAUAAUGCCGCUAAUACACUAAUAAUAAGAUAUUAAUUAUAAGGCAUAUUCCAUAAUAUGUUUUUUUCAAAAAAAUAUUGUAUUCAGUAGAUUUUUUUUGCGGUUUAUUUAUUUCUCCUGGACCAGUAAGUAACAAUUUAUUUCCUGUGCAUUUAUCAGGCAAAGAUUCUGAUGAAACUUGACGGAUAAUACCAGGGUACCAAAACAUGUCACACGAAUCUGCUGAAACAUUCAUAAAACCACCAAUUCCCCAUGACACUCCCCAACUAUUUUGUAUUACAUAAUAUUUAUCGCCAUUGUCAUUUAUUCCAUACCCGAUCAUAAUUACUGCAUGGUUCAGUUCAGAGUGAGUUGUGCAUUUUGGUGCCUUAUAAAUUCCAUCUGAAUAGCUGCUAAAACCGGGUAAAUUAGAAUUAAUACUUAAUGAAAUUGACCCAACUUUCGGAAGUAUUGUUGUCACAAAAUCCCAGCCAUCAUCACCAUUUAAUGCAAGGCCAGUAAAAACAUUAUAUUUGCUAAUAGUUAAACAACCAUUGCAAGCACUCGCCUUGCAACUACUAAUUGAGUCGAUAUAAGGGUAUUCAUUCCAAGAACAAAUGUAAUUUCUCGGGACGUUUUGUUCAAGCAAGUAACUCCAACCAUUCGAAUAAAAUCCGCCAUCGCAUCCUAAAUUCCCAAAACUCAUGCUGCAAUCAAUUAUUUGUUGAGGAGAUAGCGGCGCAGGCAGUACCAACUUUUGUAUACAAUUUGAAAUACUUAUUGAUGCACUAACAACAAAUGCAUAGCAUCCACCGCAUUUACCCUGAUCAAAAGGUAUAUAUACACAGGAACCUCCAUUUACAUCGCGCGAAUCAAAAUAUAUAUUUUUAUUUGUUAUCUCGCCAGUUUCAUUAACUCCGUUACCAGCGUUCGAAUUUUCUGUAUUCAACUCCUUUAAGAUUUCAUUUCCACUGCUGUGCGUGGGCUCAAGCUUUUGUACAGAUCUACCUAACAGAUUUUCAGAUUGUAUCUCUUUUCCUUCCGCAAUAGAUUCUUUCCAGCUAUAUCCGGUUACUUUAUCCCCUAAAUUCUUUGGAAUAAUUAAUUUGGAAGGGGGGCGAUCAAGCGAUAAUUGAGUCAAUUCAAAUCUUGCUUCUGGAUUUGACUUGAUUGCUGAAAUAAUCUCCUGAAUUUUUAUAUUACAAAUUUCUAAGGAAGAUCUGUUCAGUCCUAAAUUUGAUUGAACUUCAGAAACAAAUAUGCAGAUACAAUCUAUAAUUGAUUGACUAUUAUCUUGAUUAUUUGUCAAAUUUAAUAGAUUCAUGGGACUUGAAUUAAUAUUUGGAGUAUCCAACAAUCUGUCCAUCCACGUGGUAUUUGUUCUAUAAAUAGAGUUAAAAAACACCUCAGGUUGAAUAAUUAUAUCAAGGUGAUUGUCCAUUUUUCCAGAAUUAGUUGCAAUAUUGAUUUUAAUUGUAGUAUUUACAACUCUCUCAUUCUCAGCUUUCAAGAUGCUAGUAGAAUUGUUAUUUAAACCCUCAUUUUCAAGCUCACGAGUCUUAUUAAAUAAGUAAAAAAUCAAAGAGAUCUUUUGAAGAUAUUUGUUCAGCUUCUCGUAUUUACUUAUACAUUGAUGAACAUCAAUGGAAAAAUUGAAUACAAAUGGAUCGAAAAACUUAGAAGUCAAAUUAUCUUCUUCAACUAAACUAUUAUUUUUCUGGAAAUCUUUUUCUAUGAAAUUUUCAGUGCGAUGAUCUACUAGUUUAGUGGAGCUUUGACUAGAAUAGUUAUUUGGAGAAAAUAUUUCAGUAUUUGUUUCGUUUUUUUUUCCAAUUAGUAUGGAGUGGUCAUCUUUUUCUUGCUUCAACGUACGACUCACACCGGAUUCAUUACCGUUCAUGGAGUGGUUUCCAUUAUGUAAUAAGUUACCAUUUAUUUUUGUGAUAAUUGAGAGAAAACUAAUAAAAUUGAUAAAUACAAUGAACUUAUUCCAUUUUCUUCCACAUGACUUAUUUGGAAUUUGCAGGUCUUUCUCUGUGAACCCAAUUUGCAUUCUAAUAAAUUUCUGUUCGGGAGGAGAGCAAUACAAAUUAAAUAUUUAAGUUAUUUCGCCUUAAUGGCAACUAAGAAACAAUAUUAUUAAUUUCAUGAAACAUUUUAGCCCCACGCAAUUAGCGUGUGCAUAGAUGAUGCCGCCAGAAAAAAAAUGGUUAGGUCUGCAGAAAAAUUCAGGAAAAAAAAACUAUUCAAAUAAUUGAAUGAACAAGGGUAUAAAUUAAAGGCUCAGUCUGACUAUUCUUUCUUAGGUGUGAGAAAAUUUCCAUAAAUUGGUUGUUAACAGGAUUGCCUUUUACAGUGGAAAAAUAGUCGACAAUGUUAUUGUCGGCAGUGCCAUCUUCAUCUAUGAAGAAAUCAGUGAGGACUAUAUUUGAAGAAAUUGAGGAAUUUGAAAUGAUUGCUUCUAUUUUCAGAAUUAUAAUUAAGUGAAAGUUUGGGGAUUCUUUGGAUAAGCUGAGCAGUUCUUCCUUAAGGCGAUAAGCGUUGAUUGAGCUCAAAAAAUUUGGAGAUAAAGUCUCUAUUUCUUUGUAUAUUUGAGAUAUAAAUUCUUCGGAACUUUUAUAUUCACAGUUGCUUAUGGUUUUUGACUUGCCAAUAGCUGUAUUACGAAAAUUAAGUCCUGAAAGAAUAUUAUUACAGUUGGAUUUUGAAUGAUUAUUAACAAGAGCAAAAUUUUCAAGACUUAAGUUUUGUUCUGUAGAAAUAUAGCCUGAUAACCCUCCGUCAAAAUUUAAUAGUUUCUCGCAAUU
rnacentral:antisense_RNA from 1 species